rnacentral:rRNA from 1 species
UACGAAGGGGGCUAGCGUUGUUCGGAAUCACUGGGCGUAAAGCGCACGUAGGCGGAUUGUUAAGUCGGGGGUGAAAUCCUGAGGCUCAACCUCAGAACUGCCUUCGAUACUGGCAAUCUCGAGUCCGGAAGAGGUUGGUGGAACAGCUAGUGUAGAGGUGAAAUUCGUAGAUAUUAGCUAGAACACCAGUGGCGAAGGCGGCCAACUGGUCCGGCACUGACGCUGAGGUGCGAAAGCGUGGGGAAGCAAACAGGGAU